GUGCUCACUUCAGCAGCACAUAUUCUGAAAUUAGAACAGUACAGAGAAGAUUAGUAGGGCCCUGCACAAGGAAGAUAGGCAAAUUUUUGCAGUGCUCCAUAUUUUU
ensembl:snRNA U6 U6 spliceosomal RNA